rnacentral:lncRNA from 1 species
CAAGGUUCUGGCUGACCCGCUCCCUUGGAGAUGGGGCCAUGGUGGAACUGCUGCGCUGUCAGCCGGUGGCCGAGAUGCCGCACAGUCGCACUAGAAGAUGCGAGCUCGAUACUCAACAGGCAAAGGUGAGUGAUGAUACAUUGUUUCAUCUACCUCUGUACUAGUAUCUACUCCCUCCGUCCGGGUUUAUUAGGCCUAAAGACAACUUCUCUUAGACCAAGACAUAUAGUAAUUUGCUCACAUUAAUUCUUUUAUUCCACUCCCAAUGCACUCUCUCACAUGCAUGCAACCAAUGAAAAAGCACGCAUGAAGUGUAUUAAUUUUCCAGCCAUGGCACCAACAACAAUGGCUUUCAAUGCAACCAAUGAAAUGGUUACAUGCAUGCACCUUUCCAAAGCGGGGCCUUAUAAAAGGGGACAUGCUUGUGAUGCUGAGAGGCCUAAUAAACCCGAACGGAGGGAGUAGCUCUGUAUUACUAGCUAACUAGCUCUCAGCAAUCAGCGUAUUGACAUUUGCACGUACUGAACUUUCAAGUAUGCGAUGUAUCCAUUUUUCUUUGCUUCUCUGGUUUCCAAUUACAAAGUACAGGGGAAGGGGAAAUCACAAAUUGGUGAAAGCGCUUUUUAGUAAAUGUAGUGCCCAAGACCACAUUUAACUGGAAAACUAAAUCUCAGUUACACAUCUAACAUAUGAAAAGGAAUAACCAGCAAUCCAUAUUCAAGUAUAUAUCUUUAUUUGAGCAUAAAACCAUUGUGCAUCUAACAUCAAGAGGAAUGGUAAGAUAAAUUAUUACAUUGCAAGGUAACUGUUUUGCAGAGCAAUCCUGAGAUACAAAUUUUAUAUGGUAAUAUAGAGCUAUUUAAAAGUGUUUAUCUUGUACUCCCUCCAUCCUAAAAUUCUUGUCUUAGAUUUGUCUCUGAUACAUGUGCCACACACAUAGACGAUGUAUUGAGUUAGUAAAAACCUUGUUAAUGGCACUAAUAAUUGCAGCACAGUUUCCGUCGGUGUGCUUGUGCUUGAGAGUUGAGAUGCGUGAGACCAGAUACAUGGACGUCUUGUGUGAGGCAACGUCCUGAGCCUGCUCUCGAUGGGUACCCGGGGCAGCCGGCUGACCCUUGCGCCACCGCCGGCCUCUGCCGGGCCGGCGACGUCGCCGGCGUUGGGAAGCUUGUCUGGCUCGAGAUUCUCAUGCCUGAGAUCGGACGUUGGCUCCUCUGACGAGGAGGAUACGCCGGCUGUUGGCGUGUAGACGGCCCUUGAGGUGCUUGGGGAGGAUGUUGGAGGCGGGGAGUGGAACACGGUGUCUCGCCGGAAGAAGAAAACUGAGGCGGAGCUGGUCCAGGAGUUCUGGGACGAUGCGGGAUUCCCGACGCCGGCAUCUCAUUUCUGGGAACACCGGUCACCGUCGUCGCCAGGGGAUUUUCUAAAUCCCGAUGGGUCGGGUGUGCCAUCUUGCAGGGAGCAGGAGAGGAUCGCCGAUGCGGAGGGCUCGGAGCUGGAUGGUUCGGCGUCGCUGUCGAGAUCGGCGGCCCCGGUGCUCUCCGGCCGGAAACCUGUGUCCCACCGUCCGUGCUGAGAGUCGCCCGGCCGCCACGUUUGGGGGCUUGGCGUGGACCCCUGCCGCCGCGCCGGGUGACGCCCCCGCCGGUGCUGGGACAGUUCAUUGACGCGGUCAGGCAGAACCCCUCCGCGGCAAGCCGGCAAUGCCCGCCGAGAUCUGACGUCGUUCGGGCGCCGGGUCCGGUGGCGAGAUCGCAGUGAAUUCAAACUCAACUGUCCUCGGGCUUUGGGCCCAUGCAUGCACAAAAGGACGCGGGCCAAGAUGUAUUUUCUUGGGCCUUUCUGAGGACGCGCAUGAAGGCAAUCUGGGCAGGUUUUGGUAACCAGCAGGCCGCGAUCGCAGCAGUUCCUUUCACCGCUUCGUCCUCGUCCUCGUAUCCUGACGCAGAUCCUUCGAUCGCCGCCAAGCCUCUGCACACCUCACGGACGCCGUCUCCAGCUCCGGCAUCACCCCUCUGCGCCGGGGUCACGUUUCAGCGCCCCAUGGCGGGCGUUCCUCCGACAGCACCUGGUGCCGCAGCCACGGGAGGGCCAAACCCUCGCCCACCACCAGCCAUGGGGCCGACUCCCGCUCCUUCACGUCCUCCGGCGCAGGCGCCGGGCUACUCCGGUCGACCACAUCAGCAGCAUGGACUGGCGCCGGUCUACAACUAUGCUCCAUCAAUGCAGCAGCCCCCUGUUUACGUCCAGGGAGGGCAGUACGUCUCGCCGUAUGGUACGGUCGUUGCCGGAGGGCAAUAUCCCAUGUACGGGGUUCCGUCAACCGGGGUGUCCGCCCUUCCGCAAUUCCAUCCAGGUGGGGUGGUGCCUCAGCCGGCUCAAAAACGCAAAANNNNNNNNNNNNNNNNNNNNNNNNNNNNNNNNNNNNNNNNNNNNNNNNNNNNNNNNNNNNNNNNNNNNNNNNNNNNNNNNNNNNNNNNNNNNNNNNNNNNNNNNNNNNNNNNNNNNNNNNNNNNNNNNNNNNNNNNNNNNNNNNNNNNNNNNNNNNNNNNNNNNNNNNNNNNNNNNNNNNNNNNNNNNNNNNNNNNNNNNNNNNNNNNNNNNNNNNNNNNNNNNNNNNNNNNNNNNNNNNNNNNNNNNNNNNNNNNNNNNNNNNNNNNNNNNNNNNNNNNNNNNNNNNNAGCAGCAACAGUUUGCGGGUGGAGCUUUGCAACCCGGUAUUCAACACACUCUGAAACACGUGCCGGUUCAGCAACAAUUUCAGCAGCAGCACAUGCAGUCAUAUCAGCAUGGGCAAUAUCAGCAUCCUCAGAUGCCAAACGGGCCUGCUAUUGUUGAUACCCCACCAUUGGCGGCUCCAAUGUCUGAUGUGCAGGUCGAUACGGCGCCCAAGUCCAAGGCUAAGAAAGGGGUUCGUUGCUCGAAAUGUGCGGUUGAUACGCAUACAGUGAAGGAUUGCACUGUGCAACACUACUGCUAUAUUUGUGACAAAAUCGCUCAUCCAACAUUGCGGUGUCCUAUUCUCAAACUCCCUUAGGCCCAGUGCUUUUGUUUCGGGAGUUGGUGCUGAGGAGACGUACUUUGUCCAGUUGCUUGAUUGCGUGGUGAAAGAUCAUUUAGCACCGACACAGUCUCCGAUAGCCCGAGUUCAGGUUACUGGUUUGAUGGUACCGGCUAGUGUUGUCGAGAGCCAGAUUGCUAGGAGAUGUCCGGUACAUGAUCAAUGGAAGUGGGAGGCUAUUCAACACGGGCCUGAUGGUUACCUUGUUAGCUUUCCGUCUUUCGAGGACUUGGACAGGGUAGAUGGUAUUCAGAUGAACGUUCCAUCUGUUAAUGCUCAGAUGACCGUUACCGCAUGGAGGUCUCAGGAGGUCCCACAUAAGCUCGAGCUUCAGCAGAUUUGGCUCCAUGUCCAGGGGGUUCCCCAUACGGUUCGUCAUUUUUGGGGCUUAUGGGCUGUUGGUACUUUGAUGGGCAAGACAUUGGAUGUCGAUCUUCUUAGCCUGUGUCGUCGUGGUGUUGUACGUAUUCUCGUGGCUAUGACCAACUCUCAGAUAUUGUCAAAGGAAAAUGACGACGCUGGUCCUUUUGCUGCAACAGAUGUGGUGGUUAAGCUCAAGGGCUACACUUUCUCGUUCAGAAGGGAGCCGGCAGGUUACAUUCCGGACCCUGAUUUUGUCCCGUUCGUUUGGAGACGCAAGGGUGAUGAUGCUGAUGAUGAUAGUGGCGCCAAGGAGAAAGACAAUGAGAUGGACACAUCGGAAUACACCGGGAACCCAUCCAACCAUCCGUCAUCUAGUAACACUAAUGUGACUCAAGUUCAACGACGGGAGCUGCCGACUGUUGGCUCUGGUGGUGCGACGGGAGGUGGUCCUGUGUUGUUGGCCGUCAUUCCGUUUAACUCUGCGCCGCAGACGCCGAGAGGCAUGGAGCUUGCCGCGGAUCUUAGAGUCAACUCCACGUUACCUGGAUGUCUCGAAAGAUCCCCUCGGGUUCACCGACAGGAGUUGUCCUCGCCUUCUACACUGCAGGCUGUGGUUGCAUUGCAGCUGUCGUCGCAUUCUCGGCCGGCAUCGUCGCAGUCCGCUGCCCUCCGGUCGGAGCAAGUCACCGGCGGCUCGGCGGGGCGACCAGACUCUUCUGCAGUACACCUACAACCAGCUGCUAAGGUGGCGUCGCAGUCACCGUCGUCGACGCGGACGGCGGCGUCUAAGCCGGCUGUUCCCGAGCCGGUGGAGGCUGCCGGUGGUACAGCGCAUGCGGGGUGCCGGCAUCCUGUGGGUACGGUUGAGGCCGAUUGGCAUGCAGCUCAUGUGGAGAUACCCAUGCAUGCAACCCAUGCAUGCAUGUAGUGAACCUGGACGUGAAGGCUACCCCCAAGUGUGCAGCCGUGCGUAGCUGCACCCGCGGUUGCCCUUCGGUCUCUGUCCGCGCCGGACGAGUCCACGGCCGCUCCUCGGUCUCAGGCGAAGCCGGACGUGUCUGCCUCAUCCAUGCACGCUCCUCCAGUCAGGCCAUCUUCGGAAGUGUCGCCGCGUGUUAUUGCGGCCGAGACUGCCGGGGAGGGGGUUGCUACUACACCCUCAUCCCCUCCUCCGGCGGCGGUGCUUGCGCGACACCCUUCAUCAAGGAUGACACCUACACGCCGAAGUGGCCGUCAUGCGGUGGCCGACGAUGGAAGGAUGGACACUGACGAGGACUCUUUGGCCAAGGCUAUGCGGCGUAAAGCGGCGCAGAACCUCGACAACCAAGGUAUUUCGUCAUCACUCAAAUCAUUUUUAUCCUUUUCUAGUACAUCCAUCGUUUCUAAGUUGAAUAAUGUGGGUGUUAGUCUAGGAAAUAAUGAGAAUGAUAUUUCUGUUUUGACAAAUGCUUUGAAACAUUUGGAAUAUAUAUGACCGAUUGAAGGUUACUCCAUGAGUUUCUAGCAAAUCUUUUAUCUCACAUCUAGACGAGGAGGAGCUGCAUGCCACAUCAGAUGGUCAGCUACUCGCUCAUGUAGUAGGGGAGAUUUCAGACGUGGGCUUGGAGGAACCCGGGCUUAGCUCAUUGCUUGAGCUUACAGCUUCCGGUCGUAAAUCCAAGUCGGACCGUUCGAAAAAAUGUCGUAAGUCCUCUAAGAGGGCGAAAUUUUCUAAAUCUCCUAUUGUUUCCUCAUGAAUGGCAUGUUCUUUAAUAGCACAGGUCUUGGUGACUUGGCUAAACAUCUAUUCAUUGCGGAAUGUAAUAGGGAACACAAUUUAGACUUUUUGGCUUUAUCUGAAACAGGGAGACGUGAUUUCUCAGUAAGUCUUCUUAACCGUCUUUCUGGCGGGAUAGACUAUACUUGGAUUUCUCGGCCACCUCGAGGUCGUUCUGGGGGCAUUUUACUUGGCGUAAACACGGGGACUAUGGAUGUGUUGGCUAGUUCGGAUGGUGAGUUUCACAUUAAACUCCAUAUCCGGAACAAAGCCGACAACUUCACAUGGACCCUCGUCGCUGUGUAUGGAGCAGCACAUGAUGAGUUCAAGGCUGAUUUUCUCCGUGAAUUGGUUAAUCUAGCGAACGAGAAUCCCUACCCCAUUCUUAUCGGUGGGGAUUUUAAUUUGCUAUGAUUUCCAAAUGAGAAAAGCCGAGGUAGGUUUGAUAAUCAUUGGGCUUCCCUUUUCAACGCUGUCAUAGACAGUCUAGAUUUGCGAGAGGUUUCCAUGAUUGGAAGACAGUACACUUGGGCGAACAAUCUUCCAGAACCGACAUAUGAGAAACUAGAUCGCGUAUUCAUGGAUACCGACCGGGAAUCCAGAUUCCCUAUGGUUUCUGUACGUGCUCUACCUCGUAUAGAGGCUAUCUCAGACCACACACCCAUCCUUUUAACUACUGGAUUGCCAUGACCGCAGCACAGACGCAAGUUCAAGUUCGAACUGGGUUGGUUGCAUCGGGAUGGAUUCCAUGACUUGGCCAAGAAGGUGUGGGAUAAACCGAUUGCCGGGCUUACCCCAAUACACAAAUGGAACAACAAAAUGCGUGCAUUACGUAAGUUCCUUAGUGGUUGGGCUAGGCACACUGCGGGUAUCCUCAAAAAGGAGAAGCUUCGUCUUUUGUCUAUCAUUGAUGAAUUAGAAGCUUUGGCAGAGGUUAGACCUCUAUCCGAGCAUGAAAUCGAGAUCAAGAGUCAUUCGAAUGCACAGAUAGCUAGCAUGCUGCGUGAGGAGGAACUCAAAUGGUACCAACAUAGUAACUCUCAAUUUAUCCUGAAAGGUGAUUCGAAUACUAGAUUUUUCCAUGGAGUCGCCAAUGGCAGACACCGGAAGAAAAUUAUUCAUUCCCUACAAUAGGAUGAGGGCACGAUUGAGAGACAUGAGCAACUUAAAUCUUAUAUCACUAAUUAUUAUAAAAAUUUGUUCGGAGCCCCAGAGGAAGGUAACUUCUCAAUGGAUGAGUCCCGAACGGAUGACAUCCCCCAGGUCUCUGAUGAGGAAAACAGCCUUCUAACAGCCCCAUACUCCGAGGAGGAAGUUAGAAAGGUGGUUUUCCUAAUGGAGCACAACAAAGCCCCGGGUCCAGAUGGUUUUCCUGCUGAGUUCUAUCAGAACUUCUGGGAAGUCAUCAAGUCGGAUCUCCUACUUUUGUUUAGCGACCUACAUGCUGGCCAUCUGGAAUUGUUUCGCUUAAACUUCGGUGAGAUUAUUUUAUUACAUAAGGCUAAUGAGGCUGAAAGGAUACAAUAAUAUAGACCUAUUUGCCUCCUUAAUGUUAGUUUUAAAAUAUUAACGAAGGUUGCGACUAUUAGGCUAAAUUCGGUUGUUGAACAUGUGAUUCGUCCUUCACAGACUGCUUUUAUGCAAGGAAGAAACAUCCUAGAUGGAGUUGUUAUCCUUCAUGAAACAGUCCAUGAAUUACAUCGAAAAAGUUGAAUGGGGUGGUACUCAAAAUAGACUUUGAAAAAGCGUAUGACAAAGUCAAAUGGCCAUUUCUUCAACAGACUCUCAGAAUGAAAGGAUUUUCUGCAGAGUGGUGCGCUAUGGUCCAUAGCUUCAUUUCUGGAGGUAGUGUUGCCAUUAAGGUCAAUGACGACGUUGGACACUAUUUCCAAACAAAGAAGGGAUUGCGACAAGGUGACUCGGUAUCGCCCAUGCUAUUCAAUAUAGUGGCGGAUAUGCUAGCGGUCAUGAUUGAGCGUGCCAAGGUUGAUGGCCAAAUUGAUGGAGUAGUAAGUCAUCUAGUUGAUGGUGGUCUCUCUAUACUUCAAUAUGCCGACGAUACGAUUCUCUUCAUGGAUCAUGACCUCGAGAAAGCGAGAAAUCUGAAAUUAAUUUUAUCAGCAUUCGAGCAACUCUCAGGUCUGAAGAUCAACUUUCAUAAAAGUGAAUUGUUUUGUUUUGGCGAGGCUCAAGACGAGGCCCACCUGUACGCUGAACUGUUCGGAUGUGGGUUGGGCCAGUUUCCGAUCACAUAUUUGGGGAUACCGAUACAUUAUCGGAGACUCACAAAUGCUGAAUGGAAACAUGUCGAGGAGAGGCUGCAAAAAAGACUUAGCAGUUGGAAAGGUAAACUGUUGUCUCUGGGUGGAAGAUUAGUCCUCAUAAACUCAGUACUAAGUAAUAUGGUACUAUAUAUGAUUUCCUUCUUCCAGUUGCCAAAAGGAGUUUUACAUAGAUUGGAUUAUUUCCGAUCAAGAUUCUUUUGGCAAGGAGAUAGCGAGCGAAAGAAAUCGACUGGCUAAAUGGAGUGUGGUUUGUCGUCCCAAACACCAAGGUGGGUUGGGCAUUCAUGACCUUGAGGUUAAGAAUAGGGCCCUCCUCGGCAAAUGGUUGUUCAAAUUACUAACCGAAAAUGGUGUAUGGCAAACCCUCCUGAGGAGGAAAUAUGUGGGCUCCAAGGCGGUAUCCCAAGUAUACUGGAAGCCUGGGGAUUCUCACUUUUGGGCGGGUCUAAUGGCUACGAAGAAAUAUUUCUUCUCCUAUGGAUCCUUCUCGAUGAAGGACGGCUCGGAAAUUAGAUUCUAGGAGGACAAGUGGCUAGGAAAUGCCACACUCCGGGAACAAUAUCCGGCUCUAUACAACAUUGUGCGUCACAAGGGUGAUACUAUUGCCACUGUAAUGGAAUCAUUUCCGCCAAAUGUGACGUUCAGAAGAGAUUUAAUUGGACCUAGACUCCAAUCGUGGUACAUCCUGCUUCAACGGUUGUCCACGGUACAAUUGUCACAUGGGUCUGAUGUAUUUCAAUGGAACCUACAUGAGAAUGGAAAAUUCUCAGUGGAGUCUAUGUAUAGAGCGUUAAUUCAGUCUGAUGUGCCAGUUGAUAAUAAUAAGAAGAUCUGGAAGAUGAAGAUACCUCUUAAGAAUAAAAUAUUUGCAUGGUAUCUUCGUCGCGGAGUUAUUCUUACUAAAGAUGACCUUAUCAAGAGGAAUUGGCAUGGAAGUCCGCGAUGUGUUUUUUGUCAUCAUGAUGAGACAAUAAAACAUUUAUUCUUCCAAUGCAAAUUGGCUUGGUCUAUAUGGUCAGUCAUCCAGAUAGGUGCUGGCUUGUAUCCUCCUUGUAGUGUUGCCAAUGUAUUUGGCAACUGGUUACAUGGGAUUGAUCACAGGUUUAGAACUCUUCUUAGGGUGGGAGUGCUAGCCGUUAUUUGGUCGCUUUGGCUAUGUAGAAAUGAUAAGGUUUUUAAUGAUAAAAGUACUUCUCUAAUGCAGGUUAUCUACAGAUGUACAGGGACUCUUCAUUUAUGGUCCUCUCUACAACGCGUGAACAAUCAAGACCUAUUUACGGAGGUGUGUACACGAUUGGAGGAUACGGCGAGGGAUACUUUUAUCCAACAUGGGUGGCAACAUGAUCAUAGGAUUGGCCCACCUCCGCUUUUGGCGUUAUACAGACUCUAUCUUUGUAUUCCGCCUAUCUAUUUUUCGUUCUUGCAGAGGACUUUGUUUGGCUGUGUGCAUCUUAGUUAUGCAGAGGCCGGGUGUAAUGCUUAAACCUUUUAAGUAAUAAAGCGCCCCUUUUCGAAAAAAAUUGCAGCACAUUGAUCGGUCAAUAAGGUCUUUGGUUCUUUUCCUGACAUGGCCCUUUUGAAUGUUUCAAACAACCAUUCAAACUUCUCAGAUGUUUCAUCAUACAAUAAUGCAGCUCCAAAAACCAUUGUUUGUUUAUGAUGGUUGACACCAACGGAAAGGGGAAAUGGUCUGCCAUAACUAUUUGUCUUAAAGGUUGUGUCAAAGCAUACCACAUCACCAAAGUAGUGAUAAUCUAAUAUUGAUCUUGCAUCUGCCCAGAAUAUAUUGGUUACCAUCUCAUCUUCAUCUACUUGUAUAGCAUAAAAAAGGAAGGAUUUUCCAUCUGCUUGUCCUGUAGGUAUUGAAGAAUGGCACCUGUAUCUCCUUCUUGGAUGGAUUGCAUACGCUUUGAUUGGAGAUAAUUUUUAUAAUCUUUUUUACCGAAGCUAAGACAUUGUCAACCCCCUGCUUGUCUACUCAUCACUUCAUGGCCAGAUUUUGGUCUAGUACCUGAAUCAUUCAAGAUGUCAAUUUGGGCCUUCUGACCUUCUGUAAUUCUUCUUUGGGAUCGCAGUAGAUGGGCUUUGCUUGGAGUUACGAGUUCAUGAUUAUGAGCAUCCUCAAAGCUACUUACAACAUAUUUUCUAGUAGCACUUAUUUUGAUGGUCAUCUCUGCCAGACAACCAACUCUUGUUUCUGCUCGCUUCCUCUGACAUUGUUCCUUGCUCUUGUCCUUGUGACCUUCCUUUGAGCAUACAAAUUUCUUUGUUCGAAUAACAUUAGUCGUUGAGGAUUUCUCAUGCCAAGACUUCCUGACACUGAAACCUACAUGUCCUGCAUAUGUAUUGCAAAACUCAUAUGCAAUAUCUUCAUUCUCAAAUUCCAUUCCUAUCUCUGGUUUUAACCUUUUGAUGUAAUAAUCAUUUGUAUUUCCACCCGCCUCUCCCACAUUUGUGGUCUCAUGAUCUACAAAACAUAAAAAUUAUCAUAUACUGAUUAGUUUAUGAUCCAGCUGCCAUUCUUCUUUAGUAGGCAUUAGCAAAAUAACACACGUUAUUGACAAGAGCAUUAGCAAAAUAUUGAUUUUUUUUCUUUGAUAAAAAAAUAAACUUAGGUGCUACUCUGUUAGUAGUGAAAUUUGAUUCUAAGUAAGAUCGAGCUGAUGUCUCGUUACUAAACCAACUCAUGAUGAUUCCAUAUACUGAUGGAUAAGAAGCAAAUAAAUUCACAUGAUCCAGAGUUUCAAACCUUAAGCAUGUUUGUUUAUCUACAUAGACGAAGGGUAAUGAUAUAACUUGCACUGAACCUAACAGUUCGUCCUAGUUUCAUUUUUCAGUGUCAGGAUUUGCCCUCUGAUGCAUAGUGUGUGCAGCAACGUAGGAGUGAUCAUCCUUCACAGAAUUAUAAUGCAAUUCCAAAGGAUUAAU